rnacentral:rRNA from 1 species
ACAGCAGCAGCCGCGGUAAAACAGAGGGUGCGAGCGUUAAUCGGAUUUACUGGGCGUAAAGCGUGCGUAGGCGGCUUCUUAAGUCGGAUGUGAAAUCCCUGAGCUUAACUUAGGAAUUGCAUUCGAUACUGGGAAGCUAUAGUAUGGGAGAGGAUGGUAGAAUUCCAGGUGUAGCGGUGAAAUGCGUAGAGAUCUGGAGGAAUACCGAUGGCGAAGGCAGCCAUCUGGCCUAAUACUGACGCUGAGGUACGAAAGCAUGGGGAGCAAACAGGAUUAGAUACCCGUGUAGUCCCUGUCUCUUAUAC